AUUUCUGUUUGAAAAGGAUCCAAACGUUCGGAUACCGAGCUCUUGGAAGAGCUGUGGGGAACUCACAGGCUGACACGUCCCUUCCCAAACAUGAGCAGCUUCCUCUUGGUGUCACAGGGUGGAUUUUGUCCACUUCCCCACCCUGGGUGAUGGGAAAGGUCCUGUGUAGUAGCACGUGUGCUGGACAUACUGAACUUCGACCACUGAGGAACAAAGCCCACGGUGCAGAUUUGCUUUAAGCACCUGGCUGGAGGGGAGAAGUAGGACAAAUCGUCCCUCUGCUGCGAGGCAGCGUUCUCCAAGAGGCUGUAAGCGUGCCCUGAGGUUGGCACGGGGAGCCUUUUGCACUGGGAGUGAGCCACUGUGGAGAGGGCAGGAAAGCGCUGGUAUCCCGUCACAUUCCUGGCUGUAAACACUGGUCUCAGCCAGGAUUAGCUGAAUAUUUCCUAUGACUGGAAGAUUGUCUUUAGCAGACCCUCCUCCUGCUCUUUGCGGUUUGUGUGAGCAAAGGAGGUCGUCCCUAAGGCCAACAUGGCGCCAUCCAGAACUGAGGACAGUGGACAGAAGUGCUGGAAGCUGCUGACCGGGCAGAACAGCCACACCUACAUCCCAGCUGGUGCAGGGCAGCCGUGAUGGCAGGGGGGAUGCAGGGCUCCCUGGGACCCACUGACCCUGUGCAUCUGUCUGCCAUAUCCUGCUUCCCCAGCAGCCCCAGACCUCCUGAAAAUCCUUCUCAGCCACUUCGAACCCAGGAGUACACGGAGAAGAGGAUCUGGGGAAACCGAGCCACAGCUCUGCGCAAGCAGCCCCCUCCUUUCAGAGCUGGUCUGUGUCCCCAUCUCCACAGAUGGCCUCUAUGCCACGUCCUGAGCCCCAGCCCCAGGGAUCUUGAAAGUCCCCUGCCCUCUGCUGGCCUCUGGUGUCAUGGUAGCAGCUCUGUAAGUCUCCAUAAAGUUCUCAAUAAGUUUCUUCAGUGUUACGGUUUGUGUCUAGAUGUCCCCCCAAAGCCUCAUGCUGUCAUGGAGUGGGCUUCUGAGUUUGUGACCAAUUCAUGGUCCAGCGCUGGGAUUAUGGGUGUGAGUGCUACCCACGCCUGUGUGGAUAGCCUGAAGGUGAUGUGAGGGACUGAAGAGGCUUCUCCCUUUUGCUCUUGUUGCUUUUGCUGUCUUUCACCACCUUGAGCAGUCGCCCCUCACCACACCACCCGGCCUGGAAGCCAGCAGAGUAUGGACUGAAGCCUCCCCAAACGGUGAGCUAAAUAAACCUUUCCUUUCUUAA